rnacentral:lncRNA from 1 species
AAGAAAAAGGCUUAGUUCUUUCCCCGCCUGUGGAGUCUGCACAUUGGAUUUGUGCCCUCCCAAAUCCUGUUCUGGCCAGGAGGCUUCUCACCCUGUUCAAAUUGUUACAAAGUUCAGCGAGAGAUUUCCUUCUCCCUGUGUAGUUUCACUCCCUGUUCCUCUCCCGCUGGAUCCCUGUGGUGCCAGGCAGGAAUGGCGUGCGAGGCGACCCAGCCAGCUCCCAGGGCCUUUCUGCUGCUUCCUCUACUUAUGUAUUUCACUCAGCUCUCCAAACUGACUCAGCUCCAGAAGAGGCGAGUGCUGGGUGCCUCUAGUCAACCAUGUUGAUGACGUCCUUUCUAGAAAACACCCUGAUACCUUGUGCCUGUGCUUCCAAGGUGGCUGACGCUGUGCCUGUGCUUCCGAGGUGGCUGACUUCUAACUGAGUGCAGUGGAGACCCCGUGGUGCUUUACAGAACAGAUGGCAGUGCUGCCCAAGCUCAGAACACAGCUGGACGGAUCCCCAUUUUUAAAAUGUUGCUUUUAAAGUUCCUUGGUCUAUUUUAAGUCUUAGACAAUAGAGCACUAAUUUGUGUCCACAGCUAGGGAAAAAGCACCCCAAAUACUCAUGUUAUGUCACUUUCAGUACCACAAUUCAAAUAGUGAAAGACGAUGCUUCCAUGUACCACGUAUAGGUCUCUACUAGUGAUUUUUCUCUCAUUUCAACCUAGCUUCACAUAUUUUUAUGGUAUAGCUAACUCAACAUUGAUUCUAUACAAAAUAUAUUAUCUAAGAUAGUCUUUAAAAAUAUUUGAAUUCCACUGGGAUUUGUUUAAACCCCUACACAAAUAAUUACCUCUUACUAAAAACACUGAGUUUGGCAAGUGAAAUUUUGUAAUAAGGUGAAGAUUCAAUAAAAUCUUGUCUCAAACUAAUGGGCUCUGGCAACUUUUAUUUUUUUUUUCUGUAAAUUCUGUCUAUGGCACGACUGCUGUUAGGCCAAAUAGAUGUCCUCUGCAAUAAUGAUCGUAAUGGUACAAUGACAGAUGGCAAGCCAUGGGGGCCAGUCUACUGUCUGGAAAGGAGCACGAAAUUUUAACUCUGUCUCCCUUUG